CCGUCAAUUCAUUUGAGUUUAGAUGUGGUUUCGAAGCACGCGAAGAACCUUACCAGGUCUUGACAUCCUUUGACCACUCUAGAGAUAGAGCUUUCCCUUCGGGGACAAAGUGACAGGUGGUGCAUGGUUGUCGUCAGCUCGUGUCGUGAGAUGUUGGGUUAAGUCCCGCAACGAGCGCAACCCUUAUUGUUAGUUGCCAUCAUUUAGUUGGGCACUCUAGCGAGACUGCCGGUGACAAACCGGAGGAAGGUGGGGAUGACGUCAAAUCAUCAUGCCCCUUAUGACCUGGGCUACACACGUGCUACAAUGGGAAGUACAACGAGUCGCUAGACCGCGAGGUCAUGCAAAUCUCUUAAAGCUUCUCUCAGUUCGGAUUGCAGGCUGCAACUCGCCUGCAUGAAGCCGGAAUCGCUAGUAAUCGCGGAUCAGCACGCCGCGGUGAAUACGUUCCCGGAACGGGCGGUGUGUAC
rnacentral:rRNA from 1 species